UACGAAGGGGGCUAGCGUUGCUCGGAAUUACUGGGCGUAAAGGGCGCGUAGGCGGAUAGUUUAGUCAGAGGUAAAAGCCCAGGGCUCAACCUUGGAACUGCCUUUGAUACUGGCUAUCUUGAGUACGGGAGAGGUGUGUGGAACUCCGAGUGUAGAGGUGAAAUUCGUAGAUAUUCGGAAGAACACCAGUGGCGAAGGCGACACACUGGCCCGUUACUGACGCUGAGGCGCGAAAGCGUGGGAGCAAACAGG
rnacentral:rRNA from 1 species